rnacentral:rRNA from 1 species
GUGAGGGAAAGGUGAAAAGAACCCCGGGAGGGGAGUGAAAUAGAACAUGAAACCUUAAGCUUACAAGCAGUAGGAGGACGACUUAUCGUUUGACUGCGUGCCUGUUGAAGAAUGAGCCGGCGACUUAUAGUUAGUGGCAGGUUAAGGUAGAGAAUACUGGAGCCACAGUGAAAGCGAGCUUUAAUAGAGCGUGUGUCACUAGUUAUAGACCCGAACCCGGAUGAUCUAACCAUGGCCAGGAUGAAGCCUAGGUAAUACUAUGUGGAGGUCCGAACCGACUGAUGUUGAAAAAUCAGCGGAUGAGUUGUGGUUAGGGGUGAAAUACCAAUCGAAUUCGGAGCUAGCUGGUUCUCCCCGAAAUGUGUUUAGGCGCAGCGGUUAAUAUUAUAGCUUAGAGGUAAAGCACUGUUUCGGUGCGGGCUGGUAAUUCGGUACCAAAUCGAGGCAAACUCUGAAUACUAAGUGAACAGUUAACCAGUAAGACUGUGGGGGAUAAGCUUCA